rnacentral:rRNA from 1 species
ACGAACGCUGGCGGCAUGCCUAAUACAUGCAAGUCGAACGAGAUCUUCGGAUCUAGUGGCGCACGGGUGCGUAACGCGUGGGAAUCUACCCUUGGGUUCGGAAUAACAGUUGGAAACGACUGCUAAUACCGGAUGAUGACGCCAAAGAGAUUUGGAGUCCAAAGAUUUAUCGCCCAAGGAUGAGCCCGCGUAGGAUUAGCUAGUUGGUGAGGUAAAGGCUCACCAAGGCUACGAUCCUUAGCUGGUCUGAGAGGAUGAUCAGCCACACUGGGACUGAGACACGGCCCAGACUCCUACGGGAGGCAGCAGUAGGGAAUAUUGGACAAUGGGGGCAACCCUGAUCCAGCAAUGCCGCGUGAGUGAUGAAGGCCUUAGGGUUGUAAAGCUCUUUUACCCGAGAUGAUAAUGACAGUAUCGGGAGAAUAAGCUCCGGCUAACUCCGU